rnacentral:rRNA from 1 species
AUUGAACGCUGGCAGAAGGCCUAACACAUGCAAGUCGAACGAGUGGCGGACGGGUGAGUAAUGUAUGGGAAACUGCCAGAUGGAGGGGGAUAACUCGUGGAAACGGUAGCUCAUACCGCAUACCAUGGGAUGUGACCAGAUGGGAUGAGCUAGUCGGUGGGGUAACGGAUCACCUAGGGGACGAUCCCUAGCUGGUCUGAGAGGAUGACCAGCCACACUGGAAAUGAGACACGGUCCAGACUCCUACGGGAGGCAGCAGUGGGGAAUAUUGCACAAUGGGCGCAAGCCUGAUGAAGCCCUGCCGCGUGUAUGAAGAAGGCCUUCGGGUUGUAAAGUACUUUCAGCGAGGAGGCGUUACUCGCAGAAGAAGCACCGGCUAACUCCGUGCCAGCAGCCGCGGUAAUUC